GGGUGUGCUCCACAAUAUCAAGCCAGCAAACACAAACGAGCCUCCAGUGUCGGUACUGAGUCGAAAUGAAUCAACCUGAUCACCACAGUCAUGUUCAAGGCCAGAUCUUGGGAAGGAGCCUGUGCAGCACUUCCGUCAACUCCAGAGAACAGCGGAAAAGGUAGAAUUCACCUAUUCUACAAGCAGAAUCACUACUAAAUCUUUGGGAUAAAGCACUAGUUGUAGAUCUCUGGCAGCAGCACUCCAGAACAAAAUUAUUGUGUCACAUCAAGAUGCUCUGCUCUGUCGGCAAAGGAACCAAGGCUGGUCAUACCACACCAUGAAACUGCAUGAAGACCUGGUCACCAUGGAUACAGAGUGAUAACAUAGAUGUCAAAGAAGAGAUGGAGCUUGGCUGGCUGUACACCUGGCUCUGUAGGAAGAGCAGAUCCUGAACUGUUGGCCACUCCUGCUAUUGUCUUGCAUCCAGAUACUGGACCAAUGUGAUGAUGGCAUUUAUCAUAUUGUCCCAAGUGUGUGCUGUAAUAAGACAAAGAUCAAACCUCUAACCUUAAAACCUUAAGAGUGGAGAUUAUGUAUACAAGAUGGACACCAAUAAAAUGUAAA